GAUGAACGCUGGCGGCGUGCUUAACACAUGCAAGUCGAACGGAAAGGCCCAAGCUUGCUUGGGUACUCGAGUGGCGAACGGGUGAGUAACACGUGGGUGAUCUGCCCUGCACUUCGGGAUAAGCCUGGGAAACUGGGUCUAAUACCGGAUAGGACCACAUUUUGGAUGGUGUGGUGGAAAGUUUUUCGGUGUGGGAUGAGCUCGCGGCCUAUCAGCUUGUUGGUGGGGUAAUGGCCUACCAAGGCGUCGACGGGUAGCCGGCCUGAGAGGGUGUACGGACGCAUUGGGACUGAGAUACGGCCCAGAGUCGUACGGGAGGCAGCAGUGGGGAAUAUUGCACAAUGGGCGCAAGCCUGAUGCAGCGACGCCGCGUGGGGGAUGACGGCCUUCGGGUUGGAAACUCCUUUCGCUAGGGACGAAGCGUUUUUGUGACGGUACCUGGAGAAGAAGCACCGGCUAACUACGUG
rnacentral:rRNA from 1 species